UACAGAGGGUGCAAGCGUUAAUCGGAAUUACUGGGCGUAAAGCGUGCGUAGACGGUUGCGUAAGUCAGAUGUGAAAGCCCCGGGCUCAACCUGGGAAUUGCAUUUGAGACUGCGUAGCUAGGGUGCGGAAGAGGGAAGCGGAAUUUCCGGUGUAGCGGUGAAAUGCGUAGAUAUCAGGAGGAACACCUGUGGUGUAGACAGCUUACUGGACCACUUCUGACGCUGAGACACGAAAGCGUGGGUAGCAAACAGG
rnacentral:rRNA from 1 species